ACCUGGGAUAGCUCAUUUGGUAGAGCAUGAAACUCUUAAUCUCAGAGUUGUGGGUUUGGGCCUCACAUUGGGCA